UGGGGAAUAUUGGACAAUGGGCGAAAGCCUGAUCCAGCCAUGCCGCGUGUGUGAAGAAGGUCUUCGGAUUGUAAAGCACUUUAAGUUGGGAGGAAGGGCAGUAAGUUAAUACCUUGCUGUUUUGACGUUACCGACAGAAUAAGCACCGGCUAACUCUGUGCCAGCAGCCGCGGUAAUACAGAGGGUGCAAGCGUUAAUCGGAAUUACUGGGCGUAAAGCGCGCGUAGGUGGUUUGUUAAGUUGGAUGUGAAAGCCCCGGGCUCAACCUGGGAACUGCAUCCAAAACUGGCAAGCUAGAGUACGGUAGAGGGUGGUGGAAUUUCCUGUGUAGCGGUGAAAUGCGUAGAUAUAGGAAGGAACACCAGUGGCGAAGGCGACCACCUGGACUCAUACUGACGCUGAGGCACGAAAGCAUGGGGAGCAAACAGGAUUAGAUACCCCCGUAGUCCCUGAGCGGGCUGGCAAGGCGCAU
rnacentral:rRNA from 1 species